CUUUUCAGCCUAGGAAUCGUCACCUGAGAUAACAUAUAAUUGGCUAUUUACUGCGAAUCUUCGAGGCUGCGUAAAUUCUGACCUGGGCUGUUCAGGGACGUUACUUACACCUCACCCUCAAGGGAGUACCCAGGUACAAGGACGAGGAGGAAAGCUUGAACCCCUAAGGGCACAGAGCCCCUCCGGGCUUUCAGGACAGAGUCACAUCUGGUCCUGAGGAGAGUUCCGGGAAGAGCAGAGAGCAGGUGACUUCCCCUGUCUGCUGAGAGAGGGACACAGACCUGAGGACGAGAAGAUGGAAGGCUCCCCAAGGUCACUGCCUAAGGCGCAUCCACCGGACAGAGAUGGCAUCGGAGUCUCACCUGACAUAAGCAACUCUCAUAUUUCAUUUUCCUCUUAUUUUUUGGAAACAAGGCAUUAAAUUACAUUCCUAGUGCCACCAGCUGGCACUGAAAAUGCUUGGCAUCCUCCACCUUUCCUGAUUCUUACAGCACCAAAGAAUAAAAUCAGCAUUUACAUAUAGAUAGGGCCCCAGCUUGAACACCUCCCACAGCGUGCACGGACAGUGUCACUGACACAGGGCUCCCUGGGAAACCAUUGUAAUAGCGCGUGUUCACACCCCCGGGACAGGCAACGUUAGAGAGAUGCUCCAGCAACCUGACAACCUGUAAUUACAGGCACGCGCUUCCUACAUGUCGUGACAUAAACGAAGAAAAGAAGAAAGGUGGUUUUCUCAGAGGUUCCUUGAUAGUGAUGUUGCCUGUGAGCAAAGCAAGAAGAUUUUGAUUACACACCAACAACAACAACAACAACAACAACACCAGCAUUCAGGACCCAUCCACUUGAAAGGUACCUGAGGUACAGAAAAACUACACAACUAUAUUACUGCACAUGGCGUAGACCUCAUCUGAAUGUGUGAAAACUUCAUGACUUUUGAAGAAGAGAUAAGUGAAAAUAGCCGAGGUCUUCUUCCCCAACAGGAUUGAAAGGAUGAAUGGUACAAUGUCCGUGAAGCGUCUUGAUCUCCACAAGCAACCUUGCAGGCCCUCCGCGGGGAAGCCUGCAGCCUACUUCCCUUUUAACUUCCGUGAGCUCUCCCAUCCCCAGUGACUCAUCCUCCUAAGCACACUGUGUCUAAGAGUCGGGAGAAAAUACUAUUUGAAGUUUGGAUUCAGCAUCAGGCAAAAUGAGAUUCAGAACCUAGAGCUACCUUACCUUCUUUGAACUCCAUCACCAGUUGAAAUAUUCUAACCAAAAUGUUUCCCUGCCUUUCUGCCCUCUGCCUUCCUUGCUCCCAAAAAAUAUGGGGUGCUUGAGCUCUGUGUUCUUGUUCUCAGUAGCACAUGGCUACAAGGGCACUUUUCUCUCCCUGAAGGCUAGAAAAAUAGGAGUUGAGCAAAGGGGGGAAAAAAACAACAAUCUGAGCAGUA